GGCUGCUCUGAGUGCAGUGGUGUUUACUACUAAUUGAUUACAACCAGUUAUAGAUUUCUUUGUUCCUUUUCCACUUCCAUUGCUUCACUUGACUAGCCUUAA
ensembl:misc_RNA Y_RNA Y RNA